UAAACGACUCUCGGCAACGGAUAUCUCGGCUCUCGCAUCGAUGAAGAACGUAGCGAAAUGCGAUACUUGGUGUGAAUUGCAGAAUCCCGUGAACCAUCGAGUCUUUGAACGCAAGUUGCGCCCGAUGCUUUUUGCUGAGGGCACGUCUGCCUGGGCGUCACGC
rnacentral:rRNA from 1 species